CAUAACAAUAACGAGGCUUUAUACAGAGGGUACCGGUACCGAGUCAAUAUGCUGGGGUACAGGUUAGUCAAGGUAAUCUAGAUACCAUCUGUGGUCACCUUCGCCAUAACCUCGAGAGAGGACAGACCAGAUCAACAGUUUAGUUAAGGGCAUUUCCGAUUCAGGAAAUCCAGACAAAUUAUUUACUGUAUGACAAAUUAUUACUACUACCAAUAUUCUUUAUACGGAUUUCUAAAACAAAUCUCAAAGAGAAUAAGAAUACACAGUUUAAACCAUUUUCCACCAAAUUGGCUUAUACUUCUCUAUCAUCUUGGCGAUCUCACUGCAAAGUUACAGGGUCAGGGAGUUAGAGGGCCAAUCCUUAGAGAGACAUCCCGACCAUACAGCAGACCCAAUUUGAUGAGAUUUGUUAUGGAAGCAAGACAGCAACAAACAAACAACAACAACAGCAAUACACUUCUUCAUAUAAAAGUAGAGGCGGGGGAAAACAAUACACAUAUCACUCGAGAUGGGAAAAACUUAAAUCCAUUUAGAAUAACUGUCAACCAUUACCAACAUAGCUUUUUCCCUUUUUCAGGCAGGCGUGUGAAGAAAAUCUAUUUGCAUAUUUAUCAAAAGGCCCCAGGAGACCAGAAAUUGAAACAACAACACUGCCUGUUCAAUCAAAAUUAAAUGAAUUAGAAUAACAAAUCAAAUUAGAAUUACAACUUUUCAUAACUCCAUAAGGAAAUAAUUGUUUCCCACAAGGUAAUGGUAAAAUAGACUAGAAACAGGUAUCCCUCAUUCAGGGGCAACGCGCUCUCUCGCCUUCUCGUGUCUGAAUCACACAUAGGACUAUUGCUAAAUUAUAAACUUCUUCCUAAUUAUUAGUGUUUACAUAACCCAUUUAAAUCUCACCCAAUGUCUCCAGUCUUUCUAGUGAGAAUGAUCAGAACAAAGGUCAUUCAACCCCAUUAAGUGUUUUCUUUCCCUUUUUUUCCUGUAGUUAAGAAAUGAUUUAAAAACAUUUCCAUCAUUCUGCGUACCCAGUUUACAACCAAAUUAAAAAAGACCCCACACAAUAAAUCUAACAAAUAUUCAUAACCGGUGGGUUGUGUGUGCGUGCUGGUGUUUGUGGUAAAACAUAGGGCAAAAACAAACAAAGAGAAUGGCCAGGCCUAACUUAUCUCGGAGCUCCCUCUACAGCCGGAUCCAUACACAUUUAUACUUUAUAAAACAGCAGAAUUUCACUAACUGCUCUUCCAAGGCAACAACCCCCGAAACAUUUGAAAGGGAGAGAAAAUAAACAUUUAGUUAGUUUUCACUUUGCUAAAUCUUAAUCAGUCCAAGCAAUUCAAAUUAUUUCCUAUUAACUGACUUUACCAGGUGAACAAAAUGUUUUAAAUUACAGUCAAAACAAACAUGAUAACUUCUGUUCACAGGGAGGCAACUAUCCUCCCUUCACUCAUUAACCGUCUUUGUCUUCUUGUGACUCCCCUUCCUUUCAUCAAUUCUAUACAUCUAUUCAGAAUAAGACAAAAUAAAAUGUCUCACCAGACUAAAACCCCUACGGUGUUCCUGCAUUGUUCCUACUCGAAACCCCCAAAUAUGUUAUCUCUGUCACGCCUGUUCCCGCUCCCCCUCUCUGGCGCUCAAUGGGGCCAGGCUGCCCAUCAUUACGCACACUUGUCACCAUCAUUACGCGCAUCUGUGCAAUAUUGGACUCACCUGGACUCCAUUACCUUGUUGAUUGCCCCUCUAUAUCUGUCUGUUCCUCAGUUUGUUCCCCGUGUCAGCAUUGAUGUCAUUAUAUUUUUCCCCUGUCCAGACGCUGUCCUUGUUUGUUUCUUGUCUGUUAUCCAUUAAAUGUUCACUCCCUGUACUUGCUUCUCGUCUCCCAGCAUCUGUCCUUACAAUCUCUUGCUUCACUUGUUGUACUUUCCCAUAUGAUGCUUUGUGAUCCUGCUCUGUCAAAUAGUUUACUAAUGUGGAGAUGUCUGGCAUAUGAGUUUCUUUGUCUUUUUACGCCAAUAACAAAUGUGCUACAUACUCUACCAACACAGAACCCUCAAAUUUACAUCCUUAGCGAUUGUUUCAACGCGGCGUGAUACAAUGUUGGACUAUUUGUAAACAUUGUUCGUGCUCUCGCCCAUAUAUACUGCCAAUUUUAAUAUGUUACCUUUUAGAAUCCACUGUCUUUAAUUCUCGCAAGGAUUAUACAACCCCAAAAUAAUUUCCACACCCAUGUGUGGAACUCGUUCGUAAAUUCAACGGUUAUUCUGUGUUCUGGCACAUUCAGACGAGAGUGCUCUGAAAUCGGAGCAGAUAGCCAGAGCGAAUUUACGAAACACCCAAAUUACAGCUAUACCAUUUAGCUAAGCUAAGAAUGACGUGAACAAUCAAGUCAAUAACCGUUGGGUAGUUAGAUAGCGUAUAGUUAAUAUACUAGCUAGUUUGAUGUAUUAGUAGCCAACUAACGUUAGGUAGCUAGCUAACAUAUAUUACUGGUUCAUACUGCUGUAAUGAUAUGCUAUGCGGUUCAUAAGGAUAGCAUAACUAACCAAUUGUCAGCCAACAUAACGUAACUUAUUUGAAAAGUUAUUAAUUUAUAACAUUGCUCAACAUUUCCUUAACAUUUGUCAUAAUUAAUUAAAUCAUUGAAUUUGUAUCUUCAGACCAAUAUGCACACUACAUACUCAAUUUAAUUCACAAAUAGUGCAGUUAUACUGAGUACAUAUACUAAUCUUGGUUUUAUUGGUUUUUCUUUUUUUGUUGAUAGAACGCUAACAUCAAAAUGCUGGUGUAUUGAGCUUCUGAUUUUCCUUUUAUAUAAUUGUACCAAUUCACAAUAGCAUCUCUGAAUACUUUAUUAGAUUGGAAUUUUCCAUCAGCAGGGAAAUGCUGCUCAAUUUUAUCCAUGAUUAGAUUUUUUUCCCAUAUUCGAGCCGAAUUGGUAGAAUGCUCUUGCGCUUCUUUUAGUGACUCUGUGGCUUUGCUAUAGUUUACCUCUUCUACAAUAGUUAUUUCUGCGCCUCUCUCAAUGGUGUCCAGAGUUUCAGAUUUCCUCACUCAUGGUUUUAAUAUAAGCCAAUGUUAACAAUUUUCCAAGGUAGUGAUACCCACUUACCCGGAGAGUAGUUAUGGUAUUUCUGCCUUUUAAUAGAACCAAUACUGAAGCGUCUGCCAAUUUACUACUUGAGAAUAUUGGAGACCUAAUGUCUUAUACCAGUAUCAUGCUUCACAUAUCACUAUUGUUGACAACACAUAUUACCAAAAUUAGGGUCCAUCGUCUGUACAUAAUAUAAAUAUUUUGUCAAUACACACACACUCAGGAAACAAAAACAAACACACAAAACAAAACAAACAGUAUUUGGUUAGGAACAUCUUCCUUUCUUAUAAUUUAAAAAUAGUAAUUUCUUCUUCAUCAAAAUAUUUUUUCAUUACUCAAUGUAAUUUUAAAUGUUGUACCCACAUGGUAGUUCCUAUGCACAUUUCCGUGUAGGAUUUAAAUUUAUAGCUGGUUUCCCAAAUAUAACCAACUGUUUUACCAGUACACUGACUAAUUCAUUGUUUUUUACAAUGUUUUUCUAACCUGCAGGAAUCAUUUUUAAUUCUUCAGGACCAAGUCCUGGAACACUUUCAACAGGACCUUGUCCUGUUAUCUCUUAAUAUAGCUCAUGCAUCUACAUCUUACGAUCGUAACCUAUGGAAUAUUACUUCAGGCCUUUUGUCCUGGUAUCUCUAUAAUACCUCUGGAUCUUAUUCUUGAAUUGCUUUCAUCAGGACUUGUCCUGGUAUCUCUAACACGCAUGACCUGUUCCUAGAACAGGAUUUUUUUAAAGUUAACUUUCACCAAUUCAAGGUUGUAUUU
rnacentral:lncRNA from 1 species